rfam:Phlebotomus papatasi Contig51227.1, whole genome shotgun sequence.
CAAACAGCCCUUUUUAGGGCUAUCAAUCAUCUAUAUAAAGAGUUUA